UUAGGUGGCUAGAAUUCCACUCUCUUUGCAACAUUUCAAAGUGUUCUUGAGGACAAUGAAGAAGAGAUGGUAACUACUUUUGUUGCAACCUUGUUGUUUGCACUUCAAGAUUUUGCUGUUAAAUUGUAAGAUUAUUGCUGCAUAAUUAAAUCAUGUUCUUUUGAUCUAUAUCAUGUGAAGGAUGAAUCUACUUCAAUUAUCACUCAAGAAUGAAGACUUGGAGCUACUGGUUGGCGGCUGCGAUAGAAAGCACAUUUGUUAUUUAAUAAAAUCAUCUUUCAAUAUUUGGAGAUGUACUUUUUUGUUUUACAUAAUUUUGCACUGCUAUAUGGGCUACUCAUGUAAUAAGGAUAUUUACUGCUGCGUGUGAUUGUUUGACCAUUGGUUUUGCGAACACAGUCAGAUUAUUU
rnacentral:lncRNA from 1 species